GAUGAACGCUGGCGGCGUGCCUAAUACAUGCAAGUCGAGCGAAUGGAUUAAGAGCUUGCUCUUAUGAAGUUAGCGGCGGACGGGUGAGUAACACGUGGGUAACCUGCCCAUAAGACUGGGAUAACUCCGGGAAACCGGGGCUAAUACCGGAUAACAUUUUGAACCGAAUGGUUCGAAAUUGAAAGGCGGCUUCGGCUGUCACUUAUGGAUGGACCCGCGUCGCAUUAGCUAGUUGGUGAGGUAACGGCGCACCAAGGCAACGAUGCGUAGCCGACCUGAGAGGGUGAUCGGCCACACUGGGACUGAGACACGGCCCAGACUCCUACGGGAGGCAGCAGUAGGGAAUCUUCCGCAAUGGACGAAAGUCUGACGGAGCAACGCCGCGUGAGUGAUGAAGGCUUUCGGGUCGUAAAACUCUGUUGUUAGGGAAGAACAAGUGCUAGUUGAAUAGGCUGGCACCUUGACGGUACCUAACCAGAAAGCCACGGCUAACUACGUGCCAGCCGCCGCGGUAA
rnacentral:rRNA from 1 species